AGAAACACAGCAAGUGCUGUUUUCCCCAUGUGGUGUGGGGUUGCGCAUGAUCAUAGUUGCAACACUAGAAAGAUGGCAGUGCAAGAACAAAGAAAAAUUCCUUUGAUUGCAGAAAAUCUCCUGAAAAAGAGGAAGGCUCACCAAGCCCUCAAAGCCACCCAGGCAAAGCAGCCACUUUUGGCAAAAGAGGAGCAGAGGAAAAGAAAAGGGCUCAGGUUUAAGAGACUGUAAUAACUCCUGUAUGAUUCCUGGUGGCAGAAACAUGACAAGGUGUGCCUCAGAUGACAAAAAGUGAAACUUCAUGCCUUGGAAUUGCCAGAUAAAAAUUCCUUGGCCUUUGCUAUACGCAUUGAAAGGAUGGAUGGUGUGAGUUUACUGGUGCAAAGAACCACUGUAAGACCUAAAUAAAAUUUUUCACGGUGACUUUUACAGUCACCCCCAGAACCUAAACAUGCUGCAUAUAGUGGAAUCUUAUGUGACCUGGGGAUUUCCAAAUCUGAAGUCAGUCCAGGAACUCAUUUUGAAAUGUAGACAAGCCAAGGUCAAGAAUAAGACCAUCCCUCUGACAGACAACUCAGUGAUUGAGGAACUCCUGGGGAAGUUUGGUGUCAUUUGCUUAGAAGACCUCAUUCAUGAAAUUGCCUUCUCAGGGAAGUAAUUCCAGGAGAUCUCAUGGUUCUUGUGCCCAUCCCACCUCUCAGGGGCCCCAUCAUGCUACGAAAAAUAGAGUGGGCUUCCUCAAGAAGAUGGGCACACCUGGCUAUCAGGGUGAACACAUCAAUCAGCUCAUCCGCCAUCUCAACUAGACCCAGGUACCAAACUGCAGUAAAUUUUUAUCAAGUAGAAGCACGUAUUUUUGUUUUUUGGGAAUUUUUAUCAAGUAUCUUCAGAGAAGAUUAUUUCCUGCUUUAUCUUCAAAAACUGGAAAGGUAGGGUCUAAGAAAAGACAGUAGCUGGCCAGGCGCGGUGGCUCACACCUCUAACCCCAGCACUUUGGGAGGUUGAGGCGGGAUCAGCUGAGGUUGGUAGUUCGUGACCAGCCUGACCAAUAGGGAGAAACCCUGUCUCUACAAAAAUUGCAAAAAUUAGCCAGGCAUUGGUGGCACAUGUAAUCCCAGCUACUCGGGAGGCUGAGGUAGGAGAAUCAUUUGAACCCGGGAGGCAGCAAGCACCUCUCAUCAGAGUCCAGUUCCAAGGAAAAAUUCCAGUGUUUUCUACAUUGGCUGCCACCUCGUGUGAAAUCAGCACAUUCCACAGAGGAAGGAGUCCUGCUUUAUUUCAUCUAUCCUAGGGUUUAAUGUUGGUAAAUUAGUAACUCUAGCAUUUGUACAAGGCUCCCUAAGACUCCUGUAGCAGUUGACCAGGCCCAAGGAUUUAACUGAAUCUGGAGAUUCCUGGGGCCUUGUUUUGAAAAAGACUUGAAAUACACGUAGGAAGAAAGGCACAAAAAUAAAUGUUUAUUUGUCUCCGCUAUG